rnacentral:ncRNA from 1 species
UUAUUAGGUGCUGUAAAAGUUAAAAGGGAAAGUGGUGAAAAUCCACUGCAGCCCACCGUUACUGUAAUGCUGACGAAAUCUUAUAAUAACCACUAGAUUUUAUUUGGGAAGGUUAGAAGGUAGGGAGAAGCUAAGCCAGGAAACCUGCCUAAUAAGU